AAUCACCGUAUUGCCUCACAACUAGUGUAGGGUGGGAGCAGUUCCUAUUGCUCACAUGAUGUGCUAUGAGAAGACUUUGCUCAGGCUGAAGGCUCAGCUACCUCAGUACCCUGUUUCUGACAGCUGACUGGUAGGAGAUAGGAAAAUGAGAACAUGAUGACAGUGAUUCAGGCAUAUUCCCAUUGCUUCUAGCAAUCUCUAACCUAGAAACUUCCCAAGCCAGAGGUGGUUAAUGAAUAUGUGUAACAACACAGAUGCAGAGCACUUCUCCACAGGAAUCGAAGAUUUAUUCCUACCCUUAUUUUCCUUUAACUUUAAACCAUGAGAGAAAUCUCCUCCUGUUUUACCAUCCUUAAGAGCUCUUGGUAAGGGAUAUUGUUAAAGAUGUCGAAUGAAAUCCAUGUCUACUGUAUGAACCAAAUGAACCACACCUACAUUCUCAUUACCUCCUUUAAAAAAAUCUAGUGAAUUCAUGAGACAAGGCAACCCUGUACAACAGCUAUUAUGACUCUUCUUUGUUAUAUCAUAUUUUUCCGUGUAUCUACUAGCCCUAUGCUUUUAAAAAGUUUGUCCAGUUCAACUAUCCAUCUUGCUGGUCUGCAGUUUCCUCUAUGCCCUGAUUUUACCUCCUGAAGUUACAUGCUGACGUCCGAUGAUAAACAAGACUGCAGAAGGAGAAGCCUGGGAGGUACAGUGUUUCUGAAAUGUCCAAGGGAUGCAAAGAUUAUUGCACAGACAUUUUCAGGCCUCCUUCCUGGAACUGCCAUCUGCUAGCAGACAUGUGAGCAUCAGUUGCUAUGGCAGCACACAAAAUACUAUGUCCAAAUCCUAGAAACACAGAGAAUAGGUCUACAAUUGGGCUGUGGACCAAGAAUCUCUGCAAGAACUGGAGGAUGAGUAUUUUAUCCCCUUCCUGGCCUAUGUAGAAGGCAUCUUUCCAAUACUGCUGUUGUACAGUUUCAAGGCUGACAUAAGUUCAAUGCCAGGUGGACGUCCUUUUCAGG